rnacentral:rRNA from 1 species
AGAGUUUGAUCCUGGCUCAGAAUGAACGCUGGCGGCGUGCUUAACACAUGCAAGUCGUGCGCGAAGGUGCCUUCGGCCACCGGACCGCGGCGAACGGGUGAGAAACACGUGGGUGAUCUGCCUGGGAGCGGGGGAUAACCUGGGGAAACUCGGGCUAAUACCGCAUACGUUGUUGGGGUUGCGGCCUCGACAAGAAAGCUGGCCUCUAUUUAUAAGCUAGCGCUCGCAGAGGAGCCCGCGGCUGAUUAGCUAGUUGGUGGGGUAAUGGCCCACCAAGGCGACGAUCAGUAGCCGGCCUGAGAGGGUGAUCGGCCACACUGGGACUGAGACACGGCCCAGACUCCUACGGGAGGCAGCAGUGGGGAAUAUUGGACAAUGGGCGCAAGCCUGAUCCAGCAACGCCGCGUGGAGGACGAAGGUCUUCGGAUCGUAAACUCCUGUCAGACGGGACGAAGGUUUCCGUGCGAACAGUGCGGAAGCUUGACGGUACUGUCAGAGGAAGCCCCGGCUAACUCCGUGCCAGCAGCCGCGGUAAUGCGGAGGGGGCUAGCGUUAUUCGGAAUUAUUGGGCGUAAAGGGCGCGUAGGCGGCCCGGUAAGUCAAAGGUGAAAUCCCUCGGCUCAACUGAGGAACUGCCUUUGAAACUGUCGGGCUUGAGGCCGGGAGGGGGUAGCGGAAUUCCCAGUGUAGCGGUGAAAUGCGUAGAUAUUGGGAGGAACACCGGUGGCGAAGGCGGCUACCUGGACCGGUUCUGACGCUGAUGCGCGAAAGCGUGGGUAGCAAACAGGAUUAGAUACCCUGG